rnacentral:rRNA from 1 species
AUUGAACGCUGGCGGCAGGCCUAACACAUGCAAGUCGAACGAGUGGCGGACGGGUGAGUAAUGUCUGGGAAACUGCCUGAUGGAGGGGGAUAACUACUGGAAACGGUAGCUAAUACCGCAUACCAUCGGAUGUGCCCAUAUGGGAUUAGCUAGUAGGUGGGGUAAAGGCUCACCUAGGCGACGAUCCCUAGCUGGUCUGAGAGGAUGACCAGCCACAUGGGAAAUGAGACAAGGUCCAGACUCCUACGGUAGGGAGCAGGGGGGAAUAGUGGACAAUGGGCGCAAGCCUGAGGAAGCCAUGCCGAGUGUAUGAAGAAGGCCUUCGGGUUGGAAAGUACUUUCAGCGGGGAGGCGUUACCCGCAGAAGAAGCACCGGCUAACUCCGUGCCAGCAGCCGCGGUAAUUC